GAUGAACGCUGGCGGCGUGCCUAACACAUGCAAGUCGAACGGAAAGGCCCUGCGUUUGUGCGGUUCUCGAGUGGCGAACGCGGGAGUGUCACGUGAGUAACCUGCCCUUGUCUUUGGGAUAACUUCACGAAACUGGGGCUAAUAUCGUAUAGGAUAUCCUGCUGCAUGGUGGGGGUUGGAAAGUUUCGGCUGUUGGGGAUGGACUCGCGGCUUAUGCGCUUGUUGGUGGGGUAGUUGCUUACCAAGCCUUAGAAGGGUAGGCGGCCUGGGAGGGGUGACGGGCACAAUGGGACUGCGGGACGGCGCAGACUGCUAUGGGAGGCAGCAGUGGGGAAUAUUGCACAGCGGGCGCGAGCCUGAGGCGGCGACGCUGGGUGCGGAAAGACGGCCUUCGGGUUGAAAACAGCUUUCGCCUGUGACGAAGCGUGAGUGACGGUAAUGGGUAAAGAAGCACCGGCUAACUACGUG
rnacentral:rRNA from 1 species